CGGCGGACGGGUGAGUAAUGCCUAGGAAUAUGCCUGGUAGUGGGGGACAACGUUUCGAAAGGAACGCUAAUACCGCAUACGUCCUACGGGAGAAAGCAGGGGACCUUCGGGCCUUGCGCUAUCAGAUGAGCCUAGGUCGGAUUAGCUAGUUGGUGAGGUAAUGGCUCACCAAGGCGACGAUCCGUAACUGGUCUGAGAGGAUGAUCAGUCACACUGGAACUGAGACACGGUCCAGACUCCUACGGGAGGCAGCAGGU
rnacentral:rRNA from 1 species